AUUGAACGCUGGCGGAAUGCUUUACACAUGCAAGUCGAACGGUAGAGGGGGCAACUCCUUGAGAGUGGCGAACGGGUGAGUAAUAUAUCGGAACGUGCCCAGUCGUGGGGGAUAACGUAGUGAAAAUUACGCUAAUACCGCAUACGAUCUAAGGAUGAAAGCGGGGGAUCGCAAGACCUCGCGCGAUUGGAGCGGCCGAUAUCAGAUUAGGUAGUUGGUAGGGUAAAGGCCUACCAAGCCAACGAUCUGUAGCUGGUCUCAGAGGACGACCAGCCACACUGGAACUGAGACACGGUCCAGACUCCUACGGGAGGCAGCAGUGGGGAAUUUUGGACAAUGGGCGAAAGCCUGAUCCAGCCAUUCCGCGUGCAGGAUGAAGGCCCUCGGGUUGUAAACUGCUUUUGUACAGAACGAAAAGGUCUCUAUUAAUACUAGGGGCUCAUGACGGAACUGUAAG
rnacentral:rRNA from 1 species